AUGGACAAGAUGCAGUAUAUAUACAGUUGCAGGGGAUCGGGGAUUCAGGGGACAGUGAUAAACAAGGAAGGCUGUGAAACAGCAUGUGCGUGGUUUAAGGUAUGUCACUUAUUUCAUUCUACAAGUUCAAAAUUAUUAGUAUUAGCUCUUGAAGUGUUGCAAGGAUUUGCGUUUGGAAUAUAAGCUGGUUAGAUAUGAUUGAUUAAGUACGGUACUCUGUUAGUGCAAUGAGUAUUUAACCCCCCCUCGCUUGUAAAAUCCACUAGAUAGUUUUAGUAAUAAUCUGACUUGCGCUUUAAAGCAAAUACUUUUCACGCUGUGACCCUAUGCCAGUGUGCAUAAAGCGAUUUUUUUAAGUAUAAAUAACAUAUGGUCAGUGGAGUAGGUGAAAGUUCACACUUCAGUAGUAUUAUUAUCACAUUGAUACUUUCGUUGGUGAGCCUGGAUUGAUAUGGCUUUUAUCUGUAUGACUGAAAAUUCUACUACGAGGCCCUUCCAAGUUCCAGCUAAUAUAUCUGAAAAUGUAAGUGCUUUUCAGGAGAAAUAGAACAAACUCCGAAGUUUAUAUGUACAUCUUGCAUGGAUGUAAAUUUUUGAUGUCAAAUAUCCAAUAAAAUGCAGAUGUGACAAUCACCAUUUGUAGGUUGUAAAUAGGUGUAUAGAGAUGAACAACACAUUAUCAUCUGUAUAUAAGCAAUACAAACUCAUUGUACUAUAUGAUACAGCUGAUACAAUAAUCAAAAAUUGACCCAACCUAAACUCCACCUAAUUCGUCACCUGUCUCUCUCGAAGACAGCUAAAAAUUAAAAUUAUUCAAACAUGAAAUUAUGUCUGCUAAUUCAAAUAUAAAAAGUAUCGGUUUAUCUAUCUUCUACCACUUCUGCAUGUAAGCAAAGAGUCAUUCAUUCAACCUAAACAGAACAAUUCUAACAACAUAAUUGUACAAACAAAUCUCAACUUCUUAUAGUGAAAUACAAGAGUAAUUUAAAUGGGGGGACAUUCAAACAAUCUGAGUGCUCGAAGCACAUUAUUAAAUAUAUAUGUUCAAAACCUGGUUUGCAAUUGUAUGCAUACAUAUACAUAUAAUUAAGAACAAAUCAAAUCAUCUAACACUAAUCUCCAAAAAAAAAAGAAUAAUCCGGGAAAAAACAAUAAUGUAUGUAAUUAAGGAAUUCAAUCCUGAGAUGGAGCAGAACCUGGCCCUAGAUUAGACAUUCGGGACACUUGUUUCUUAUUGAAAGAGUCUAUUUUCUCAAGCUUCAGUCCAGCUCUAAACCUUGCAAUAAAGUUAUCAGCUUUAGUAUCCACAUCAGGGCUUGGACAGAACAAAGAAACAGGGGAAGCUGUUGGAUCAGCUGCAGGCGAGAUAUUAUCAGCCUCAUCAGUAUCCGGAGAUCCAGAACGUGAGCUGGGAUUGCUCUCUAUACUCACAUAGUC
rnacentral:lncRNA from 1 species